rnacentral:rRNA from 1 species
GACUAACCGUGCGAACGUUAUUCGGAAUCACUGGGCUUAAAGGGCGCGUAGGCGGCUUUCCAAGCCCGGGGUGAAAUCUUUCGGCCUAACCGGAAAAGGGCCUCGGGGACUGGGAAGCUCGAGGGGGGUAGGGGCAAGCGGAACUUCCGGUGGAGCGGUGAAAUGCGUUGAUAUCGGAAGGAACGCCGGCGGCGAAAGCGGCUUGCUGGACCCCAUCUGACGCUGAGGCGCGAAAGCCAGGGGAGCGAACGGG